CAGAGGAACCUCUGUCAGCGUGCAGUGAAUACAUAGCUGUACGUGGGGAACCCGGGGAACUGAAACAUCUAAGUACCCGGAGGAAGAGAAAGAAAAUUUAUCGAUUUCCAAAGUAGCGGCGAGCGAAAUGGAAAGAGCCCAAACCGUGAUGCGUGCAUCGCGGGGUUCGGACUGCGUUGUGGCAGACGUAAGAUAGGAGAACGGACUGGGAAGUCCGGCCGGAGAGAGUGAAAGCCUCGUAUCCGAAAUCCCAAGUCGCCUAGCAGGAUCCAGAGUAGGACGAGACACGAGAAACCUUGUCUGAACGAGCGGGGACCACCCCGUAAGGCUAAAUACUUCUUAGUGACCGAUAGCGCAUAGUACUGUGAAGGAAAGGUGAAAAGUACCCCGGGAGGGGAGUGAAAGAGAACCUGAAACCCUGUGUCUACAAGCUGUGGGACCUCUUUAUAUGAGGGACUGCGUACUUUUUGUAGAACGGUCCGGCGAGUUGUGCGUACUGGCGAGGUUAAGGACUUAAGGUCUGGAGCCGAAGUGAAAGCAAGCGUUAAUAGCGCGUCAAGUCAGUGAGUGCAGACCCGAAACCGGGUGACCUAUCCAUGUCCAGGUUGAAGCUUCCGUAAGAGGAAGUGGAGGACCGAACCCACAUCCGUUGAAAAGGGUGGGGAUGAGGUGUGGAUAGCGGAGAAAUUCCAAUCGAACCCGGAGAUAGCUGGUUCUCCUCGAAAUAGCUUUAGGGCUAGCCUCAUGAGAGUCUUAUGGAGGUAGAGCACUGAAUUGCCUAGGGGGCGUCAAAGCUUACCAAAGCAUAUCAAACUCCGAAUGCCAUCAAGAUGAUUCAUGGGAGUCAGACCAUACGAGAUAAGUUGGAUGGUCAAAAGGGAAAGAGCCCAGACCUACAGCUAAGGUCCCAAAGUACGUGUUAAGUGGAAAAGGAUGUGGGGAUUCUAAGACAACUAGGACGUUGGCUUAGAAGCAGCCAUUCAUUGAAAGAGUGCGUAAUAGCUCACUAGUCGAGAGUCCCUGCGCCGAAAAUGUCCGGGGCUGAAACACGACACCGAAGCUUAGGAAUGUGUAAACAUUGGUAGAGGAGCAUUGCUAGCGGGAUGAAGCCAUACCGUAAGGAGUGGUGGACUGCUAGGAAGAGAGAAUGCCGGAAUGAGUAGCGAGAUGAAGGUGAGAAUCCUUCAGGCCGAAUAUCUAAGGUUUCCAGAGUAAAGCUGAUCUGCUCUGGGUAAGUCGGGACCUAAGGCGAGGUCGAAAGACGUAGUCGAUGGAUAACAGGUUGAAAUUCCUGUACCGCAUAUAAACAGAACUGUGGGGACACAGACAGGGAAUGGAAUCCGGGAGUGGAGAUCCCGGUGCAAGCGAGGUAGGAGUGCUGUUGGCAAAUCCGCAGCACGAUCUGAAGACGUGAYGCGUACCGAACAUAAGUAGGGAAGUCCAGGCCCCUGGCUGUCAAGAAAAGCCGCUAUUGUUUUAUAUGUGCCCGUACCGCAAACCGACACAGGUGGAUGAGGAGAGAAUCCUAAGGCCGACGGGAGAAGUAUUGUUAAGGAACUCGGCAAAAUGACUCCGUAACUUCGGGAGAAGGAGUGCCAUGAGAGUGGCCGCAGAGAAAUGGCCCAAGCAACUGUUUAGCAAAAACACAGGUCUAUGCAAAACCGCAAGGUGAAGUAUAUGGGCUGACGCCUGCCCGGUGCUGGAAGGUUAAGGGGAGAGGUUAGCGCAAGCGAAGCUUUGAACUUAAGCCCCAGUAAACGGCGGCCGUAACUAUAACGGUCCUAAGGUAGCGAAAUUCCUUGUCGGGUAAGUUCCGACCCGCACGAAA
rnacentral:rRNA from 1 species